GUUACAUGCCUGCCAAGGAGGUGCCGGAGGAGCGUAACUUGCUGUGCUGCUCCUGUGAGUGUGAACUACACUUCUCAGGGUGAAGUAGCCACAUACUGAAUUGAAAGAGAUACACACAAUCAAGUCCUCCAAGAUGACAAAAGGCAGCUCCAGUAUGCCACUGGGAGAAACUCAUUCUCACAGUCAACACCAGGGGAGGCCAGGGCAGACCCAGCAGACAGACACACUGCCUCCUGCGCUCUGGCAUCAUGGAAGGGGGGCUGCUGCUUGAGAG